rnacentral:rRNA from 1 species
UACGGAGGGAGCUAGCGUUGUUCGGAAUUACUGGGCGUAAAGCGCACGUAGGCGGCUUUGUAAGUUAGAGGUGAAAGCCCGGAGCUCAACUCCGGAACUGCCUUUAAGACUGCAUCGCUUGAAUCCAGGAGAGGUGAGUGGAAUUCCGAGUGUAGAGGUGAAAUUCGUAGAUAUUCGGAAGAACACCAGUGGCGAAGGCGGGUCUC